GACAGCAAACGACAUUGUCUUCUGAGUGCCUCUGAGGCAAGGUCUCACACAGACAGCACAUGUCACACAACAAUGUGAGGCCCCCAUUACUUGUCUUGAUCACUGAUUUUACAGCUGGACAGAUGAUAUGCUUUCUUCACAAGAGCAGCCAUUGAGCAUCUCUGAGGCGUAAGUGUAUAUUCAUAACAAAUAUAGCAGAAUGUAUUGCGGCUGUUAAGACAUUGAUGAGACAUAUCGACCGACACUAAUCAUACUGCAAAUGUCUAUAGCAUCUACCUUACUUGUUACAUUGACGCUGGGGCAGUGCAAUGUUCUGAAACAAUACAUACACACUAUCAGGUCUAUAUUAACCCAAAGAGGACUUCUAUAGCCUGCUGAGGCAGUGCAAUGUUCUGAAACAAUACAUACACACUAUCAGGUCUAUAUUAACCCAAAGAGGACUUCUAUAGCCUGCUGAGGCAGUGCAAUGUUCUGAAACAAUACAUCCACACUAUCAGGUCUAUAUUAACCCAAAGAGGACUUCUAUAGCCUGCUGAGGCAGUGCAAUGUUCUGAAACAAUACAUCCACACUAUCAGGUCUAUAUUAACCCAAAGAGGACUUCUAUAGCCUGCUGAGGCAGUGCAAUGUUCUGAAACAAUACAUACACACUAUCAGGUCUAUAUUAACCCAAAGAGGACUUCUAUAGCCUGCUGAGGCAGUGCAAUGUUCUGAAACAAUACAUACACACUAUCAGGUCUAUAUUAACCCAAAGAGGACUUCUAUAGCCUGCUGAGGCAGUGCAAUGUUCUGAAACAAUACAUCCACACUAUCAGGUCUAUAUUAACCCAAAGAGGACUUCUAUAGCCUGCUGAGGCAGUGCAAUGUUCUGAAACAAUACAUCCACACUAUCAGGUCUAUAUUAACCCAAAGAGGACUUCUAUAGCCUGCUGAGGCAGUGCAAUGUUCUGAAACAAUACAUACACACUAUCAGGUCUAUAUUAACCCAAAGAGGACUUCUAUAGCCUGCUGAGGCAGUGCAAUGUUCUGAAACAAUACAUACACACUAUCAGGUCUAUAUUAACCCAAAGGGGACGUCUAUAGCCUGCUGAUGCAGUGUCCAGCUGGCUCCGGCCUACCCAGGCAUGUCUGGGCUGCAAACUUCCACAGAACAGCUUCCAAC